rnacentral:rRNA from 1 species
CUGGAUUCCUCGUGUCUCAGGAUGAACGCUGGCGGCGUGCUAAUACCAUGCAAGUCGAGCGAAUGGAUUAAGAGCUUGCUCUUAUGAAGUNAGCGGCGGACGGGUGAGUAACACGUGGGUAACCUGCCCAUAAGACUGGGAUAACUCCGGGAAACCGGGCCUAAUACCGGAUAACAUUUUGAACCGCAUGGUUCGAAAUUGAAAGGCGGCUUCGGCUGUCACUUAUGGAUGCACCCGCGUCGCAUUAGCUAGUUGGUGAGGUAACGGCUCACCAAGGCAACGAUGCGUAGCCGACCUGAGAGGGUGAUCGGCCACACUGGGACUGAGACACGGCCCAGACUCCUACGGGAGGCAGCAGUAGGGAAUCUUCCGCAAUGGACGAAAGUCUGACGGAGCAACNCCCCCUCAUCGAUGAAGA